rnacentral:misc_RNA from 1 species
ACUCAGGCACAACCUGUACUUACCUGGACACACCUGUUCCCAAAACUUACAGGAUACUGGACAGUAUUCUAAGUCAUUAUCAGAAUAUCGACGAAAUCGACAAGAAACGAAUAGGGACCCAACUGUUUGCGGUUCUUACAAGUAAAAUAGACUCUGACGUCACUCGAAUCAGGAAAAUUUUCCCUGCACUAAAACAGAGCUCCUGCCUCGGAGACAAUGACGCCAUGUAUAUGGUUGCCGUGAUCCUCAACAACGGGUUUCUGGUCAAAGCCGACGAGAUGCAGGCUUUGGCUUACCUGAUGAUGGCAGCUUUGGACAAUCACAGACUAUCGUUCCUGGCCAUAGGAAACAAACACAAGAAUGGCCUGGACACAGUACCAAAAGACUUAGACCAAGCUUACAUGUAUUUCAAAUAUGUUGCUGACACGACGAGAGAGGAUCUCGAAAAACAUAAAGAAACUGAUGUGCUAACCGAAUCAGUUCGUUUGACUGAUGACGUAAAUCUAAGAGAGCAGACGGAUGAAGACGGAGACGUUUUCCAUUGGUGGAUGCACCAGGCAAAAAGAGGCGUGCUAGCUGCUCAACAACAUGUUGCCCGUAUGCUAUUCUGGGGAUCACAAGGUUUGAAGCGUAACAUACAAGCCGCCGUGGAAUAUUACAAAAUGGGGAUCGAAUCAAAAGACCCCGUUGCCAUGUAUGAUUAUGGAAUCCUGAUGAUGAGGGUCAGGAAUGAAGAAGAAUGUAUCAGAAGGAUUAUCUCACAUUCGAAGAUCUGCAGAACAGAAAAAUCCAGCAGCACUGAACGCAUUAGGUUGGUACGCCAUGAACAUGGACCGAAAUUACUCAAUGGCAGCUUCAUAUUUUGAGGAGUCCUACCGUUAUGGAAAUCCGGAUGCCGCUAAUCAUCUUGGCUUUCUUCAUUUACAUGGAUAUUAUCCAAAUAAAUCUGCAGAUCCAGAUCUAGCGUUGCAAUACUUCAGUUACGCUGCCGCCCGUAACCAAUUUGACGCUGGGAUAAGUUUAGCGUACCUUCACCACAAAGGUACUUCUCGGACCAACAGGAGUAUAGAGGUGGCAGUGGAAUGGGCUAGAUUUAUUGCAGAAAAGAAUCCCCAUUUAGGGAUAGUCCUGCGAUCAGCUCUCCAGGCAUACAGACACGGUGACAACUUUCUCGCCAUUUUGUAUUACAUGAUGGCAGCCGAGGCUGGGAUAGAAGUAGGAACCUUUAACUUGGCCUGGUUAUGUGAGGAAAACAAGGAUGGAACAACUUCAUUCAUAAACAAAGACUGCCAGUGGAGGAACUACGACUUAGCAACACACAGAGAACCCCAAUUCGUCGACUCUUACGCAUUCAUCAAAAUGGGGGAUUAUCAUUGGUUCGGUUGCGAGGGUCGUCGUGACGUGUACCGAUCCGCGGAAUUUUAUGCUCUUGCGGCAUCUAAAGGAGAUCCACAGGGGAUAUUCAAUCUGGCAUAUUUAUUCGAAGAGGGUGUUGACAUCUCGCCACAAAUCUGGCGAAAAUUGGGAAUCCCAAGACAGUUCCAAGCAUCGAAAUCUAAGAUUCUUCACGAAUUGUAUACCAGAUGUCGAGAUUCCCCGCGCACGGAGGCUUACAUUCCCUGUACUGUGGCCCUCUAUCGAGUCGUACUGACGGGCAUCUGGCAGAAAUAUCAAUCUUCUAUUAAGAUAUCUGGUUUCAUUGUGGUAUUAUCAUUGACCAUAUAUAGUAUUUACAUUCUGAGGUCUUAUUUCUGGCAUAGGCAUACCACGAAUCUAAGUAUUGGAGAAUUAUGAAGUGGACCUAAAAAAAAAAAAUUCCUUUUUUAUC